CCUACGGGAGGCAGCAGUGAGGAAUCUUGCGCAAUGGAGGAAAGUAGGAAGCAGCCAUGCCGCGUGCAGGAAGACACCCCGCAGGGGCGUAAACUGCUUUUAUGUGAGAAGAAGCCCUCUCUGGGAGAGGUUUGACGGUAUCACAGGAAUAAGGCCCGGCUAACUCCGUGCCAGCAGCCGCGGUAAU
rnacentral:rRNA from 1 species